rnacentral:tRNA from 1 species
GGGCGCUUAGCUCAGCGGUAGAGCGCCUCGUUUACACCGAGGAUGCCGGCGGUUCGAAUCCGUCAGCGCCCA